GGAGCGCACGGCGGCUGUUCGGGAAUAGGAGUGAGAUAGCGGCUGGGCAUCGCGGGGUUCAGUUGUUGGAGAGGAUAAGGGGGACGGCAGCUGCACUCGGCACCAUGGGACACCCAACGUGGUUGGAGAGGAUAAGGUUGAUGGCUGAUUUCUUUGUUCGCCUUUGUUGUGGUCAAUGGUUUCACAUCCUUCUUAAUCCCUUGCCAUGAGGCAAUAAAUCGCAAAAGAGCAGACACCACCCUAUGCUCCACCUUCCAUGUACAUGUAUUCUUCUUCGGACCCUGAACCGAAGGCUUCUUCCGGUCCUUAUCAAGGUACGGCUGAUAGGUGGUUUCACCGCGGAGCUCCCUCGCCGUCAGUACAGCGAUGCUUGAUCGAUCGUGCCGCAGCUCAUCACCUUGCAUCGCCCUCCCACCACUGCUUCUCUCUGAUCUUGGUCAGAUGUUCUGGUUGAUGUGCAAGGAGAUGAGAGGGCAAGCUAGGGGAAUGGAAUUAGAGAGACGAUUGUAGAGCGGCAUCGUUGUUGUCCCUGUUGCUUUAUUCUUUUCUUACUCAAGUGGUUACUUUACCUUCAUCAGUCCAUCUUCACACUUUUGAUUGUCUCAGCUUAGCUUGCAGUUCCAGCUUAGAUUUGUCAGUUUUAUGGGUUAGCCAGAUUGUUCAAAUAUUUGUUGUCCAAUUUAUUUAUAAUCUAACUGUGCAAAUGUUUGGUUGAUUCACAAUUUUCUCAUCCUUUCACCGCUUGUGUUUAUCAGGUCUGGAGAUAUGAACCAAUCACCCAGAUACCUUUACUAGGCUGAUGCAUAUGGAGCUUGCAAUCAGAUCCAAAAUAUGGAGCUGUCUAACAAAAGCAGACUUUAUGGUUUGAAGAUGACAUGUAUGCAAUGUGUGGUCUGCACUGAUGAGACGUUGGAGGGGCAAGUACUGCACUUGGUUCAGUGCAUAUACAAGAUGGUAGAAAAAAGGGUGUGAUAAUGUAGUUAUAGCUUUGCACGACGAAUAGCAUGAGGUUUGGCCUAUAACUUUGUUCGGUAGGGUUGGGAAAUUCUGAAUGAUUUUCUUGACUGAACAAUAUGUAUCCGUACAAUAAUUGCUCCUUUGUUUGUAUAUAUAUUUGUUUGAUUUGCUCCC